ACUCUACUCCACCGGCGAACGGGUGCGUAACACGUGAGCGACCUACCCUGGUGUGGGGGAUAGCCGGCCCAACGGCCGGGUAAUACCGCAUGCGCUCGUCUGGCUUCCUGGUCGGACGAGCAAAGCCUUCGGGCGCAUUGGGAGGGGCUCGCGGCCUAUCAGCUAGUUGGCGGGGUAACGGCCCACCAAGGCAACGACGGGUAGCUGGUCUGAGAGGAUGGCCAGCCACAUUGGGACUGAGACACGGCCCAGACUCCUACGGGAGGCAGCAGUGGGGAAUAUUGCGCAAUGGACGAAAGUCUGACGCAGCGACGCCGCGUGUGGGAUGACGGUCUUCGGAUUGUAAACCACUGUCGGGAGGGACGAAUACGCCGCAAGGCGGGUGACGGUACCUCCAAAGGAAGCACCGGCUAACUCCGUGCCAGCAGCCGCGGUAAUACGGAGGGUGCGAGCGUUGUCCGGAAUCACUGGGCGUAAAGGGCGCGUAGGCGGCCUGAUAAGUAGGGGGUGAAAUCCUGCGGCUUAACCGCAGGGCUGCCUUCUAAACUGUCAGGCUGGAGCACAGUAGAGGCAGGUGGAAUUCCCGGUGUA
rnacentral:rRNA from 1 species